ACGUGGUCUAGUGGCUAGGAUAUCUGGAUCUCACUCAGGAGGCCUGAGUUCGUUUCCCAGCAUGAAAA